rnacentral:rRNA from 1 species
CCUACGGGGGGCAGCAGUGGGGAAUAUUGGACAAUGGGGGGAACCCUGAUCCAGCCAUGCCGCGUGUGUGAAGAAGGCCCUCGGGUUGUAAAGCACUUUCAGUGAGGAAGAACGCCUGGUGGUUAAUACCCAUCAGGAAAGACAUCACUCACAGAUGAAGCACCGGCUAACUCCGUGCCAGCAGCCGCGGUAAUACGGAGGGUGCGAGCGUUAAUCGGAAUUACUGGGCGUAAAGCGCGCGUAGGUGGCUUGAUAAGCCGGUUGUGAAAGCCCCGGGCUCAACCUGGGAACGGCAUCCGGAACUGUCAAGCUAGAGUGCAGGAGAGGAAGGUAGAAUUCCCGGUGUAGCGGUGAAAUGCGUAGAGAUCGGGAGGAAUACCAGUGGCGAAGGCGGCCUUCUGGACUGACACUGACACUGAGGUGCGAAAGCGUGGGUAGCAAACAGGAUUAGAUACCCUAGUAGUC